rnacentral:misc_RNA from 1 species
UGAAGCUCAGUAUUAGCCAUUCCCUAUAUUGAAGCAAUUGUUAACUAACAGUAAUUUUACAAAACCAUUGUCAUAGCAUAUAUAAGAUGAUUCAUGAUACCCCUCCAGUUAAAAUGCUCAAAUGGCCAAAGCACAAUGUUAACCAUGACAGUUCAAAGUCAUUGUUCAGCGGAAAACCAACAUUAGAAUAAGAAAAAUGUCUAGACAAAAGUGAGCAUACACUUAUGCGUGCUUUGUUCAAAUAUUAAUAACAUCUAGACCAUUUACAUAAUCAUUUCCCUAGACUAUAAUUAGGUAGCAAUUACUUACUAAUGAUAUAUUUGCAACCUACACCAGUCUAUGUUAUAUUGUGACUGAUACAACUAACAAAUCCAAUUUUCACAUCACUCAAUUCCAUGCAAAUUGAUUCCUGCAUUAGCAUUUACUCACCAGAAGCCUGUAUUGACUAAGAA